AUGCUGCAGAAGGAUCCAUGUCGCCGCUCCUCACUUGAUGAGAUUGAGGCUCACCACUGGCUCCAGGGGUUGGAUAACGCCCUCCUCAGUCCGGAGGCCCCACCGCACUGGCUCUCAGGGGCCCUUUCUCCCAGCUCUCCCCACUCAGGAGUGCCUGAGUGCGGGGAUCUACUCGCUGCAAGGCCAUCAUCUCAAAAGCCCUUCCCUGCUCCGUGGCAGCCCAACCUCAGCUUCACCCUGCGUCCACCUCCAGCUGAAGAGCCUCCCAUCACCAAGAACCUUCCAGCACUUCAGCAGAUCUGUGAGGAGGAGGAGGAGGAGGAAGAAGAAGAAGAAGAAGAAGAGGAGGAGGAGGAGGAAGAAGAAGAGGAGGAAGAGAAUGAAAGUAUGAUAAAAGAGGGGGAAGGUUCUGCCUCUUUACUACAGGGAGAGUCAGAAGGAGAAACUAAAAAGACACAGGAUGGAGCAGACAAUCAGGACAGCAGUGAAGAGGAAGAGUUAAGAAGCUCAGUGGAGGUGAUGGAGGAGGGGAACAAAGCAGAAGUGGAGACAGAAAUCAAAACUGAAGACAGUGGGUGUGUGAUUUCAGAUCAGCCAGUCAGUCAUGGAGACAGGCUGGUCAGUCAGACUCCUGAAGUCUCGCCAUUCUCCCAGCUGGGUUUGGGUGUGCCAUGCUGUCAGGGCCAACAUGACAUCACAGCCCGAGAGGAAGGAAAGGACGAGGAGGUGGAACCCAACAACAACACCAACAAACCCCGUCCUCCUCUCCCUAAACCUGACCCCCAUCACUCCCCGGUGUCCUCCGCCAGGCGGAAUAAGAUGCAGCUGCAACGAGGAGGACGAGAAGGCGAGAGGGGAGGAGACAGCGGUAGAGAUGACCUCUUAACAGACAGGUGUCAGCCCCACAGCGCAGCGGUGACCCGGGAGGAGUCUGCCCCGAGGGCGGAGCAGGGAAAACGGCACAGCGUGAAGCUCCGUGAGCGUCUCUUUCAGUUUCCACUGUGUGAGAAAGCUCUGGCCUUCAACAUACCGACACACAACAAACCCAAGAUCCUGCCGCUGGCUCAGUACAACUGCUGCCACGUGCUCUAA
rnacentral:lncRNA from 1 species